rnacentral:rRNA from 1 species
GAUGAACGCUGGCGGCGUGCCUAAUACAUGCAAGUCGAGCGAACGGACGAGAAGCUUGCUUCUCUGAUGUUAGCGGCGGACGGGUGAGUAACACGUGGAUAACCUACCUAUAAGACUGGGAUAACUUCGGGAAACCGUAGCUAAUACCGGAUAAUAUUUUGAACCGCAUGGUUCAAAAGUGAAAGACGGUCUUGCUGUCACUUAUAGAUGGAUCCGCGCUGCAUUAGCUAGUUGGUAAGGUAACGGCUUACCAAGGCAACGAUGCAUAGCCGACCUGAGAGGGUGAUCGGCCACACUGGAACUGAGACACGGUCCAGACUCCUACGGGAGGCAGCAGUAGGGAAUCUUCCGCAAUGGGCGAAAGCCUGACGGAGCAACGCCGCGUGAGUGAUGAAGGUCUUCUGAUCGUAAAACUCUGUUAUUAGGGAAGAACAUAUGUGUAAGUAACUGUGCACAUCUUGACGGUACCUAAUCAGAAAGCCACGGCUAACUACGUG